UACGAAGGGGGCUAGCGUUGUUCGGAAUCACUGGGCGUAAAGGGCGCGUAGGCGGCUUUUCAAGUCGGGGGUGAAAGCCUGUGGCUCAACCACAGAAUUGCCUUCGAUACUGUUAGGCUUGAGACCGGAAGAGGUGAGUGGAACUGCGAGUGUAGAGGUGAAAUUCGUAGAUAUUCGCAAGAACACCAGUGGCGAAGGCGGCUCACUGGUCCGGUUCUGACGCUGAGGCGCGACAGCGUGGGGAGCAAACAGG
rnacentral:rRNA from 1 species